rnacentral:tRNA from 1 species
GUGGUGGUAGUAUAGUGGCUAAGGAGCUGGUCUAGCGAGCCAGAGAAGUUGUGGGUUCAAUUCCCAACUGCCACC